rnacentral:rRNA from 1 species
UCCGGUGACCAUAGCGACGAAGAGACACCCGUUCCCAUCCCGAACACGGCAGUUAAGCUCUCCAGCGCCGAAGAUACUGAGGGGGUAGCUCCUCGGGAACAUAGGCCGUCGCCAGGA